rnacentral:lncRNA from 1 species
GUGAUCAUAUGAGGAAUGACACUGCCAUUUUCCAUCAGCUGCAACAACAUAUGAUGGGUCAAUUAAAUGCCAGAUACUUUCACAGUUUGCGGAGCAGUUGAUAAGAUUGCCCCCUUAAAAGUGAAUCAACUCUGUAUUCCGAUUUAUCUGAAAGAAGGAUAGCAGUCAGUCAAAAGACAAGAGAGUCACAAGAAUAAUCGAGCACUUCAAAUCACGAGAUAAAACGAUAUAAAAAAACUCCUCUUACUUAACAAUUUCAUGUCCUGAUGUUGUAUUACCCUCAACAUGCCAUCAGCAGCAAAAGCAUAAACAGGAUGAAAUGGAAUUGUUAACAUUGUAUUAAAUCAUCGACAGGCAAAAUGAUAUCUUGAGAAUAAUAACAUGAAGUACUGCCAAAGAGCUCAACAGUAAAUUACAAAAUGACAUGAUUUGCUUGCUUGGACAAGCUUGUAACUGAAGAAAAUAAAAUAUUGGCUAUUACUCAUAAGGAGAAAAAAGCCAACUACAAAGAUGAUUCUGCUUGAACAAGAAAGAUAGAACUUCACAAGAUCAAUGAAGGAUUGGACUGAUUGAUGUGGAGAACAGGCUUGUUAUGCUCUUCUCAAUUUCCUCCUCAACUUGGAUGCCUUCACUACAAUGAUCACGUAGAUCAUGUCUAUUUUACGAUCCACAUAGUCAAAGUACAUGUGUCUCCAAUUCUUCUUGUACACCAAAACUCCAAUAACUCCCCAAAACCCAGUCGCAAGCCCAAGCAUUAUGACUACGCAGAACAUCACCUUUUCAAGCUUACCUUCUUCAUCGGUAUCUUCUUUUGGUGCUUGAGGGGCCUCCACACCUAGGCAUUUCUUUUGUAGAGGAUCGCCACAAAGUAGAGGAUUGUCAGCAUAAAUGGAAGGAUCAUCAAGGGUCUGGAUUUGAUUUCCUCUGGGAAUUGGCCCCGUAAAAUUGUUGUGUGACAAGUUUAGUUUGCUCAAUGAUGUAAACGCAGAAAAGCUUUGUGGGAUUAUUCCUGAAAGGUGAUUAUUCGAAAGAUCCAGUGACUCAAGCGAUUCCAUGUCUCCAAUCAUAGUAGGGAUGCCUCCAGAAAGGAAGUUGCGGGAUAAGUUCAAGCCUCGCAAUUUGGAGAGCAAGGUAAGCUCUUUAGGGAUUGGCCCAAUCAAUCUAUUGCUUGAGAGAUCCAAAUUGACCAUAAGCUGUAGAUCAAGUGUUGUGUAGUCAAGGUCUAUCCCCUUCACGACCUGUUCCACAUGCAUUUGAUUCCAAUUUGUCGGAGGGAUGGCAGUAGGAUUCUCCAAAGGUGCAGGCUCAGAAGCAGGGGAGAGCGAGUUUCCUUCAUAUGUGCUUUUUUGCAGUUUCAUACUUUUCACAUAGCCAAGACAAUUUGGAAUCUUUCCUAUCAAAUUAUUCACUGCUAGGUCCAUUAUUUGCAAUGCGGAGAGUGAGCAUAGCUGUGAAGGAAUACUACCAUUGAACAUGUUUUCUCGCAGUCGAAGAAUCUGUAGAAAUUGAAAGCUUGGUCCAAACCAAUGUGGAACACUUCCAGAGAUUUUGUUCUCGCCAAGAUCCAAAAUCACCAAGUUCUUGCAAUUGUUCAUAGUUGCUGGAAUUUCUCCAUGGAGACCAUUGUUAUUCAAGUGUACUGACCGAAGCCCAAUUGAAUUUCCCAAAGAACUUGGUAUGACUCCGGACAAUUUGUUGGAUGAUAAAUCAAGGAGAAUCAUUGGAUUAUCCUGCCAACAUGCAGGGAUUUUGCCUACUAAUUCAUUCCUUCCAAGGUGCAACACUUCCAAUCCUAUCUCGCAGAAUGAGGUUGGCAUUGGACCACUAAAGAGAUUAUCAUUUAGAUACAAGGAAUUCAAAUUAGGCAUCGCCCAGCCAAUAUCAUGUGGAAUAGGUCCUGAGAUUGAGUUGUGAGAGAGAUCUAACGAGUACAAAUUAGAAGAAAAUUUCGGCAUAGAUCCAUUUAUUUGGUUGUAAGAGAGAUUCAAGUAGGAGAACGACAUGAGACCUAGCCAAUUUGGGAGAGCUCCAGUGAUGGAGGCAUUGGACAAAACUAUCUCUGUUGCCUCGACUUGUGAUCUUAUCCAUCGCGGAAAUUCCGUUCCAAACUUGCAAGACACCAUCCGAAUGUACGACAAAUUGAAGGGCGGUAUCCAGUCGGAAUGCACCUCAAAAGCUAUAUUGUUGUUGCUGAUAUCUAAGUAUGAUAGCUUCGACAGGUUGGAGAAGUGGAUUUCAGAAAUUAUUCCUCUCAAGGAAUUUGCUGAAAGAUCUACAUGGAAAAGAUCUUGAAGUUGCCCUAGACUAUGUGGAAUGGUGCCAUUUAGAAGAUUAUUACUGAGAUCUAAAGUUGAUAAGACUUGCGAUCUUCCUAAUGCCUCUGAAAUAUUCCCAGUCAAUUGAUUAUUAGAAAGAACAAGUUCUUCCAAGCAUAGCCAACCAUAUGAUGACGGGAUGGUUCCAUGUAAUUGAUUAUUUGAUAAAUCAAGUAUUUUCAAGUUUUUCAAGUGCACCAACCAAUCUGGCAAAGCUUCCUGAAGAAAAUUAUUACUUAUCUCCAAUCGCUCUAAGUUUUUCCCGAUAAGCCCUGAAGAAUUUCCCUCGACUGAAAAUAUCUCCUCACGGAGUUCAUUAUAAUUCAAAGAUAGUGACUCAAGGAAUGGUUUGUUCAUCAAGAAAGAGAACAAACCUCCUUCAAUGCUUUGCAAAAGAUUUUCUUCUAAAUUGAGAUCAAUAAGACUUCUCAAGUUAUCAAAUGACCUUGGUAUUGAAGAGUUGAAAAGGUUUGAUGCAAGAUCAAGGUGCUGGAGAGAAGUCAUGUGUUGAAAUAUAAUGCUUGGGAUGGGACCACCGAAAGAAUUCCAUGAAAGAUCAAGGUGUAGAAGAGAAGUCAUGCUUUGAAAUAUGGUGCUUGGGAUGGGACCAUAGAUACAAUUAGUUGAAAGAUCAAGGUGCUGGAGAGAAGUCAUGUUUUGAAAUAUAGUGCUUGGGAUGGAACCUUGGAAAGAAUUCCAAGAAAGAUCAAGGUGCCAAAGAGAAGUCAUGUUUUGAAAUAUAGUGCUUGGGAUGGGACCAUGGAUAUAAUUAGUUGAAAGAUCAAGGUGCCGGAGAGAAAUCACAUUUUGAAAUAUAGUGCUUGGGAUGGGACCUUGGAAAGAAUUCCAUGAAAGAGCAAGGUGUUGAAGAGAAGUCAUGUUUUGAAAUAUAGUGCUUGGGAUGGAACCUCUGAACAUAUUCUGCGAAAGAUCAAGGUGCUGAAGAGAAGUCACAUUUUGAUAUAUGGUGCUUGGGAUGGAACCUCUUAACAUAUUCUGCGAAAGAUCAAGGUGCCGAAGAGAAGUCACAUUUUGAAAUAUAGUGCUUCGGAUGGAACCUCCAAACAUAUUAUGUGAAAGAUCCAAGUGCCAAAGAGAAGGCACAUUUUGAAAUAUAGUGCUUGGGAUGGGAUCUUGGAAAGAAUUCCAUGAAAGGUCAAGGUGCCGAAGAGAAGUCAUGUUUUGAAAUAUAGUGCUUGGAAGGGGACCUCGAAUUGAAUUCCAUGAAAGAUCGAGGUACUGAAGAUGAAGAUGAGUAGGCAGGUGAAAGUCAUAAAGCCCGCAACCUGAUAGGCUCAAAUGUGAUAAAGAUGGGAGCAUGCUAAUCACUUGCAUGGGGUCUCCAGAUUUGGCAAUGUUCGAGCCGCUCAUGUCGAGAUACUUUAAUGCUUGAAGAUGCGAAACCCAUUGAAUGUCAUCAACAAAACCCAUGCCAUAAUAAUUAUGGAGAUCGAGGACUUUCAACUGGGUGAAAUUUCCCCAUUCACGCGGAAUAGUUUCAAAACUGGAAGAGUAAGACAAGUUAAGAAACCUCAAUUGCCUCAUCGAGCCAACAUCAUUGAGUAUGUUCACAUUUUUUUUGAAAUGGAUCCCGCUCAACUCUAGGUAGCUCAAGUAUCUCAAGUUCAGCAAAGAAGAGUUCAACUCACUAGCUGUGAAAAUUCCUUUUGAGAUCCGGAGCAUGACGACAUGUCCAUUAGCUGGGUCGCACUUUACUCCGGUCCAUCGACAACAAUCUUCACUGUUCCAAGAAGAAACGAUGUGAGAUGCGUAUGAGAGAUUUUGUCUGAGCUGGAGCAGUGCAUCCCUUUCGUCUUCAAAGCAAAUUGAUGAUGAGCUUCGGUUUCUGCACAAGCAUACACAUGCAUUGCCUAAAAUUAAUAACAGACUUACUAAUACGAGUACUUUCACACUUUCAUGUCCCGCCAUGGAUGAUGACAAUAUUGAAAACAAAAGGUAUAUUGCACAUGAAAGCCACUCGAUUAGGCUUCAAGUUUUUGGCUUGGGUAUAUUUGUUUGAACUUUGAGAAGUUGGUUUUGAGUGGAUUCUUUAAGAGCAGACAAAAGGCAUUUAUAGAAAGCAAGGGAAGGAAUGAUAGUGAAUGCGACCCAUUAUUGUUCUAAAUCGUCGUUGUAACGUGUAUAUCAUGUCUUCAUUGUUUUAUUUACCAUCACGGUAAAUGUAACCAUCGAUAAUUAAUUUUAGUAGUACUUGAAAGGGAAAUGAGAAAACACAAAUUCUACUAUUUGGAGCUUGUCUUUUUAAGGAACAUAUAUUUAAUAUAUUAUAUGAGCUUGUCUUCUCACAUAUAUUGAAGUAUUUUCCACUAUGAAAUUAUCCAUCAGCAUCCCAAUGACUUGAGUCCAAGUCGGCCGUCUCCAUCUCUUUAAAUUUUUCGUGAAUGGACCGAUGGGAGUACUUUUUUUUAUUUGGUCGGAUACUGAUGGGAGUACUUCAAAGAUGGUCCUGCACGGUUGCUUUUCAUCGCCAUUUGAGUGAACCGCGGAGUUAAGGCCUACAUCGGCAACAUGCAUAUGCCCCAAACUAUUUGAUGAGGCAGUAAGAUGAUUUCAAAAUCGCACUUUUGAAUUUAUUAGCUAGAUAAAAAAAAAAUUAUUAGCCAGAUGAAAAUCCACCAUCGACAAUAAAUUAAAAAAAUUAAAAUCCACCAUCAAAUAUGAUUAGAAUGUGUGCAAAUUGGAUUGGGUUAACAUCACGCAUAACCUUGAAAAAAAAAUUAAAAGAAUUUUAGCAAGAACCUCACCAAUAAAUUAAAUUCAAGCUUAAAAGAGUGAUAUGAAGAAAUCGAGGAACUUGGCUCUGAUUAAAGUAGGAUUUCACCGGAAAAAUGUAAGUUGCCAUGUGAUUAAGCUUCCCUAGUCGGAAGAAAGAGAAAAGUCUUUCGUCGCAUUUGUCGUCUAACGUUGAUCUGAGCAAUAUGUGUGUCCAUGGCGGUCCUCUAGCGACGCCGCUAGUGACAACUACAGAAAACUUUGCAUUCAAGACGCGCAAAAGUCUGAUUUUUCAAGUCUCUUGUUUCAAUUGGGCUCUAUUAUUGUGUUGUAUGUCUUGACUAGAUAAAAAUGGUUUUUCUUGCUUAUUCAAUAAGGUGAUGACGAUGUCGAGAAUGAUGAGUUCUUGUUUUUCAUAUUGGUUGAAAUCUUUUUUUCAAUCCUUGCAAAUAUGGUAGCUCUCAAUUAUUGUAUAGUGGAUCUUGCUUAUGAGUAUAUCCAAAAAUUAAUGUGAUCCUUUAGCCCAAGACAACAAGAAUCAAAUCCUCAAAAGUACUAAUUUGGUGAUAAUUUAAGGGUGUAUAAAUGACAUUAAUGACUUUUUCUCAUCUUAUUUGGGACUCUAGAUCUUAGAAUUAAUCUGUUUUGUGAGGUGUACUUCAACUUGGGUCCAUAUUUAUGAAACAGAGCAAGUGCUUGGCUUUGCCCCCUGUUAUAAGCCAAGCAAUAGACGACAGGUUCACGAAGUCGUAGCACCAAGAUGCACGCUAUGUUCACGAAGUCGUAGCACCAAGAUGCACGCACUUUGGUGGGGCCGGACCAACAGCAUUAUUGUGGAAAAACUUAGGUAUGGACGAGUUUUGCAGCGCAAUACCCGCAAGCACCAAGUCAAAAAGUCUCGAGGUCCAUGUCGUAAUGCUAAGCAACGACUUGCUAGGCAACGACUUGGGUCUGUCUAUAUUCAUCUGGUUGCAUUUUCCUUUGUAUGAUUGCAAAUUCUAACAAGGUUUUCAGUCCGCCUAAUUCAGCCAUUACUCAAAUGCUCAUCAUGAAUUUUGAGUAUGUAUUCACAUUUCUUUUAAAAGUGCAUUUAUGGGAUGUUUAUCAUGAAGGAUUGAUGAAAAUUAGUAGUACAAUAUUAACUGAUUGUUGUGAAUCUCUUUGGGUUGAAAGAUGGCUUUCUUAAAUUUUCCUGUCGAUACCAAUUGUUCAUUAAAGGAUGACAAGACGGUAGGAGAAUUUUAAGGGCCAGACAAACAGUGAUAUUUUGGGAGAUUAUUAUCAACUAUUUCCAAAGUUUAAACUAUCAUAUGAAAGCAUGGUUUGAUAUUCAAAUAUUCAAUUACUCCCCGUCACGACCCUUUAGAGAUGAAUGACAUCCCCGAGAUGUUUGGAUGGAUUAUCAAGUGAAUCUCUCUUGUGAGAUGCGUGCUUACGCUUGACUCGGGCUCUCCCAAGCCUUAUCAAACGCAACAUUAUUUACACUUGAUUGAUUAUGACAUUUAUUCUUGCUUUAAAAGUAUUUACUAAGGACAAGGCCUCAUCAACUAUACAUAAAAUGAGAAUGGAUAUGCAAAUGUGAUAUGAUAUGUAAAUAUUGUACUAAACAACGUUUUCUUUUUCUAGAAAUGAGACAAUUAAAAUGGAAAUAUUUUACAUUGUACAAUAAAAAAAGCAAUGCAAUCAAAAAUCCUAAAUGCACCCCUAAAUUAGGCUUCAAGUGUUUGGUUUGGGUGCAUUUGUUUAAACUUUGAGAGGUUGGUUUUGAGUAGGUUUUAAGAGUAGACCAAGGGCAUUUUAUUGAGAUCAAGGAAAGGAAUGAUAGUGAAUGCAACCAAUUUUAGCUCUAUAUCGUCGCAUAUCUUAUAUAUCAUGUGUUCAUGAUUUUAUUUAUAAUCACGGUAAACGUAAACAUCAAUUAUUAAUUUUAAUACUAUAUGAAAAGGGAAAUGGGAAAGCACGCAUUCUAUGACCUAGGGCUCGUCAUGUUAAGGAACAUAUAUUACAUAUUUUAAUUUGAGCUUGUCUUCUCACACAUAUUUAAGUAUUCUCUGUUAAGAAAUUAUCCAGCAGCAUCCUGAUGACUUGACUCCAAGUCGAUCCCCUCCCAAAAAGUCAAAGUCGAUAUCAUCUCUUCAAAUUUUUGUGCUUGGACUGAUGGGAGUACGUCAAAGAUGGUCUUGCACGGUUGCUUUCCAUCACCACGUGAGUGGACCGAUGGAGUCAAGGCCUACAUUGGCGACAUGCACAUGCCCCCAAGUAAUUGUUGAGGCAGUACGAUGAUUUUUGUUGACAAAACCCUAAUAAGUUUUGAAAUUGACAAAAUUAUCCAUUACUUGUAUAGAUCUUGAUAAAGAACUUUGAUAGUCCACAAGUAACUUCAAUUAAACUCGACAUUAUUGCUGGUCGCGUGGUCUCUUAAUCUCAUCGUCGGAGCUAGUCCAGGAGUGCAAAUAGCCAUGCCUACUGUCAUUAUUUCAACUCACCGACACGUACGCACUUUGGUGGGGCUGGGCCAACAGCAUUAUUGUGGAAAAACUUGGGUAUAGCCAAUUUUUGCAGUGCAAGACCCGCAAGCACCAAGUCAAGAGUCCAUAUUCAUCUGGUUGCACUUUCCUUUCAAUAGAUGCAAAUUCUAAAGCCAUGCCUAAUUCAACCAGUACCCAAAUGCCCCUCAUGGGUGUUGGAAAAAGUAUUAGAAUACAUAAAAUAAUAAUUAUUAUUAGGAAUACAUUACAAAAUAUUAGAAAAAAAAAAUGUCUGAGGCGUGCAAACACUAUUCUUAAGGAUAAUUCCGCCCCUCGGAGUACGUAGCUCGGUGCGUAAGACUUCAACGGCUAUCCUCUCAAGAUAUAACAGACCUUCCUCUAUACUCCGCAUUGAAUAUUAGAAUAAAACAUAACAACUUUUGUGUAUAACCAUCAAAAAGAAAAGGAAAGAUGUGAAAACAUAUUGUAUCUAAUAAGAUUGUGGUUUGAAGUUUAAUUUAUAAUUAAAGCUCCAAGUCAACUCAACAUUAUUGCUCGUCACUAUUAUUAUUUCAAUUGAAGUUGAAACAUGUACAAAACAAAUAGGAGUCACGAGCACCAACACGCACGCACUUUAGUGGGGCUGAACCAACAGCAUUAUUGUGGAAAAAUUCAAGUAUGGCCAAGUUUUGCAGUGCAAGACCCGCGAGCACCAAGUCAAAAGUCUUGAGGUCCUCUCAAAAAAUGCAAAUUCUAAAGUAUGUCUAAUCAGCCACUCGCUCAAAUACUCGUCAUGGAGACUUGGUUACGUAAAUUUUACCUAUAGCCCAUUAUCGGUACCUUUCCUCCUUUGAUAAAACGGUGUUUCAUGAAAUCUUUUUUGAUUUUCAUCCCAAGACAUGCAAAUCUACAUGGCCACACACAAGGGUGCAGGCAAUAAAAUGAAAUCAAUCAAUAAUAAAAACAAAAAAAAUGGCGGAAAUGAUAAGACACCGAGCUAAUUGGACAAUAAUAUCUUGUUGAUACCUAAAUUUUGAUUAAAUAUUUAAGGAUAACUUGCAUAGAAAAUUAGAGGUCAAUUUGACCCUACCCAAAAAAAUUUACAUUGAAUAGCAUGUCACAUGCCAUUAAGAUCAUUUGCAUUAACCAAGUUUUUUUAUUUAAAAAAAAAAAAAGAAGAAGAAAUGGCUUGGGGCUGGGCCUGACCCCAGCCCCUUUUCUUUCCCCUUCGUCUGGGUCGGGCCUAUUUCCUUUUAAUUUCUCCCAAGCCGGGCCCCUUCUCCGUUCCCCACUUCCUUCCUUCUUCCUCUCCUGCACCUCAGCGCACGGACACCCUCCGCAGAGCAGCCAAGGGGAGGCCUGGUCGGCCUGCCCAGAACCGGUGGCCGAAACACCUCCGUCGAUCGGGCUCCUCGUUUGUAAAUACCAGGGACACAAAAGGAGAGAGAAAAAUUCGUGAGCAAAAGGUUUCUCGUAUAGAAGAGUGAGAGAUUCGAGAGAGAGGAGCCGCAUGUGAGAGUUUGAGCGAGGGAGGGUAGUUAGAGGGAGAGACUGCCGGCCACCGCGCCAGCAUCGCGGCCGACGACCCACUGCCGGGCCUCCUUCCCAGCGCCAAGGCUCCGGUAAGCUUCGACCCUGUUCUUGGGCAUGCUGGACCGGAGCUCGUGGCCGUCUGGUUUACACGAACUCCGGCUCCAACCGUCCGUCGUUUGGCUGUCGCGUGGGUCGUUUUUCAUCUGGCGAGAGUCUCGGCUCGGGUUUGAGUCUUGGUCGAGCCAAAAACCACUCAUUUCAGUAGCGUACCCCGAACGAGAUCCGUUCGAUAAAAUGCCCGAAUGAGAUCUAGUUUUGUCUCGUCGUUUUGAGCAGAAGUCGAGUCGUCCGGGAAUCGACCCGUGGAGUCGAGGCUUGCCUGUGAUUUCUAGCGUUCCAGGCGUGGCUACCACCACUCGACCCGCAGCCACCCCCGUGGCGGCCCACGGAGGCUGCGGGUCUCUUUUGUUCCGGCAUACGAGCGACGACCGUCGUGGCUGUGGCAGAGGUGCCGCUGGACGGACGAGGGCCGAGCACUAGGCUAGGGGUUCUAUUUUCUUGCGUCCUCAAAGAGUCGUUUGUGUGUGCGUGCGCGCGCGCGGGGCUAGUUCCUGGAGGAGCCCUAUCUUCCCUUCAACGUGCAGCUCCUUUCAAAACACGAAGGAAACCAUGGCGGCUGCACUCUUAGGGAAAAGAACGUCUUUGGGCAUAGUAAAAGAAAAGACUACGGCUCCGUUCAUUUUACAGGGAAAACAACUGCCAGAAAUAGAUUUUUCAGAUUUUCCAGUAUUUAUUUCAUGGAAAAUGAAUUAGGCAAAGAAAACAUUUAAUUCUAUUGGAAAAAAACACCUUCAAAAUUGGGGAAAAAGUUUUCCAAUUCGAGCUCGCCGAUCCACAUCUUGGUCAGUCGCCGAGCAAGUAGCCAUCGCCUACGCACGCAGUGGUGGAGGGAGGAGCAAAGAAAAAAGAAAAAUUAAAAAUUAAAAAAAUGCGAUUCUUUAAAAAUUAAAAUUAAAAUUAAAAUUUUUUGAUCAAUUAAAAAAUUAAAAUUCGAUUUCUUUGGUAAUUUUUCUCUGAAAAAUCAAAUCAGAAUAGUGGAAAAUAUUUUCUAUAUCAUUUUCAAAUUUUAACGGAACACCAAAUAAUAUCUUUACUUUCUUUAAAAUUGGCUUCUAAAGAGUAUUUUUCGCCAAAUGAAGCUUAUUUUCCUUUCCUUUUACACGGGCACAAGGCGAAGAAGCGUGCUCCUCCCUUUUGUCUUUCAGUGGGCAGGAGCCUCUCUUUUUUUUUCUCCAUGCGGUAAAUCACUUUGAGGUGAAUCUCGCAAACAGCUCAAAUUCGAGACCUAUAUUUAAUAGUAAUUCUAUCUACAUGCAUUUUUUUUUCUUUUGACGCCUAAAAAUAUAGAGGGGAAAUGUAACCUAGGAAAGGAAUAUAUUGAACAUCGGUGGGCACUAUGCCAUUAACAAUUUCGUUUACAAAUGUCAUAUUACCCUCAACAUGCAAUUACCAGGAAAAGCUUAAAUAGGAUAAAAUGGAGUUGCUUACAUGGUUUGUGACAUUGACAAGUAAAAUCAUAUCAUGAGUAGAGCUUAGCAACACUAAAAUUACAAAAUGACAUGAUUUGCACUUACUGUGUUGUUUAAUCGACGGCUUGCCUGGACAAGCUUGAAAUAGAAGAAAACAAAAUAUUGGCUACUAGUAACUACUCACAAGGAGAAACAAGCCAACCACAAGAUGAUUGUGCUUAAACAAGAAAGCAAGAACUUCAUGAGAUCAACAAAGGAUUGGACUAAUUGAUGUAGAGAACGGACUUGUUAUGCUCUUCUCAAUCUCCUCCUCAACUCGGCUGCCUUCACUACAAUAAUCACAUAGACCAUGUCUGUUUUACGAUCCACAUAGUUGAAGUAGACGCGUCUCCAAUUCUUCUUGUACACCAAAACUCCAAUAACUCCCCAAAACCCAGUCGCAAACCCAAGCAUUAUGACUAUGUAGAACAUCACCUUUUCAAACUUACCUUCUUCUUCGGGAUCUUCUUUUGACACUCGAGGGGCCUCAGCACCGGGGCAUUUCUUUUGUAGAGGAUCACCACAAAGUAGAGGAUUGUCGGCAUAAAUGGAAGGAUCAUCAAGGGUCUGGAUUUGAUUUCCUUUGGGAAUUGGCCCUGUGAAGUUGUUGUGAGACAAGUUCAGUUUGCUUAGUGAUUUAAACGCAGAAAAGCUUUGUGGGAUUGUUCCUGAAAGGUGAUUAUUCGAAAGAUCAAGUGACUCGAGCCAUUUCAUUUGCCCAAUCAUAGUUGGGAUGCCCCCAAAAAGAAAGUUGUGGGAUAAGUUCAAGCCUCGUAAUUUGGAGAGCAAGGUAAGCUCUUCAGGGAUUCGCCCAAUCAAUUUGUUGCUUGAGAGAUCCAAAUUGACCAUAAGUCGUAGAGCGAGUGUUGUGUAGUCAAGGUCUAUCCCCUUCAUGACCUGCUCCACAUGCAGUCUCUUCCAAAAAUUUCGACCAAGGCCAGCAGGCAUCGAGUCAUUCACGGAAGGUUCAGCCUCAUAAGUAGGGGAAAGUGCAUUGCCUUGAUCUACGUUUUUGGGCAGUUUCAUACCUAUCAUAUAGCCAAGACAAUUUGGAAUCGUUCUCGUUAGAUUAUUCACUGCUAAGUCCAACAUUCGCAAUGCAGGGAGUGAACAUAGUUGUGAAGGAAUACUGCCAUUGAACAUGUUUUCUCGCAAUCUUAGAAUCUGUAGAAAUUGAAAGCUUGGUCCAAACCAGUGUGGAACACUUCCAGAGAUUUUAUUCUCACCAAGAUCCAAAACUAGCAAGUUCCUGCAAUAGUUCAUAGUCACAGGAAUUUCUCCUUGGAGACUGUUGUUGCUCAAGUAUAUUGACCCAAGCCUAGUUAGAUUUCCCAAAGAACUCGGUAUGACUCCAGACAACUUGUUGGACGAUAGAUCAAGGAAACUCAUAGGAUGCACCUUCCAACAAUCAGGGAUUUUGCCAACUAAUUCAUUCCUUGCAAGGUGCAACUUGUACAAAAGUUCCAUCUUGCAUAAUGAGGUUGGUAUUGGACCGCUUAAGAGGUUAUCGUUCAAUUUCAAGGAAGUCAUAUGAGGCACCGCUAGGCCAAUAUCUUGCGGAAUAGGUUCUGCGAUUAAGUUGUGAGAGAGAUCUAACAUUUGCAGAUAAGAAGGAAAUUUUGGUAGAAAUCCAUUUAUUUGGUUGUAAGAGAGAUGCAAGUAGUUGAUUGACAUGAGACCUAGCCAAUCAGGGAGAGCUCCUAUGAUGGAUGAGUUGGACAACACUAUCUCUUCUACAUUGACUUGCGUUUUUAUCCAUUGCGGAAAUUCCUUUUUGAAAUCGCAAGACAUCAUCCCAAUGUAAGACAAAUUGAAAGGUGGUAUCCAAUUGGAAUCCACCUCGAAAGCUAAAUAGUUGUUGCUGAUAUCUAAGUGCUCUAGCUUCGAGAGGUUGGCAAAGUGGAUUUCGGAAACUAUUCCUCUCAAGGAAUUUCUUGAAAGAUCUAAGCUAUCAAGAUUUUGAAGUUGCCCGAGACUAUGUGGAAUGCUGCCAUUUAGAAGAUUGUUACUAAGAUCUAAAGACUGUAAGCCUUGCAAUCCUCCUAAUGCCUCUGGAAUAUUCCCUGUCAAUUGAUUAUAAGAAAGAAAAAGUCUGUCCAAGCAUAACCAACCAUAUGAUGGCGGGAUGGUUCCAUGUAAUUGAUUAGCUGAUAGGUCAAGCCAUGUCAAGUUUUUCAAGUGCACCAGCCAAUCUGGCAAAGCUCCUCGAAGAAAAUUAUCACUUAUAUCCAUUCGCUCCAAGUUUUUUCCGAUAAGCCCCGAAGAAUUUCCCUUGACUGAAAAUAACUCAUCAAGAAGUUUGUUUGUAGUCAAUGAUAGUGACUUGAGGAAUGGUUUGUUCCUUAAGAAAGAGAACAACCCUCCCUCAAUGCUUUGCAAAAGAUUGUCUUCAAGAUUGAGAUUGACAAGACUUCUCAAGUUAUCGAACCACCUUGGUACUGAAGAGUUGAAACAAUUGGAUGAAAGAUCGAGGUGCUGGAGAGAAGUCAUUUUUUGAAAUAUAGCGCUCGGGAUAGGACCUUCGAAAAAGUUCGCUGAAAGAUCAAGAUGCCAAAGAGAAGUCAUGUUUUGAAAUAUAGCGCGUGGGAUGGGACCUUUGAUAAAACAACUUGAAAGACCUAGGUGCCGCAAAGAAGUCAUGUUUUGACACAUAGUGCUGGGGAUGGAACCUCUAAACCUAUUCCAUGAAAGAUCAAGGUGUUGGAGAGAAGUCAUGUUUUGGAAUAUAGUGCUUGAGAUGGGACCUCCAAAAGAAUUUAACGAAAGAUCAAGGUGCCGAAGAGAAGUCAUGUUUUGAAAUAUAGUGCUUGGGAUGCGACCUCGGAAAAAAUUAUUUGAAAGAUCGAGGUACUGAAGAUCAAGAUGAGUAGGCAGGUGAAAGUCAUAAAGUCCGCAAUAUGAUAGGCGUAAAUGAGAUAAAGAUGGGAGUAUACUGAUCACCCGCAUGGGGUCUCCAUAUUUAGUAAUAUUCAGGCCGCUCAUGUCAAGGUACUUUAAUGCUUGAAGAUGGGAAACCCACUGAAUGUCAUCAACAUCACCCAUGUAAUAAUAACUAUUGAGAUCGAGGACUUCCAACUGAGUAAGAUUUCCCCAUUCGCUAGCAAAAGUUGCAAAACCAAAAGAGUUGGAUAAAUUAAGGUACCUCAAUUGCUUCAUCGAGCUGAUAUCACUGAGUAUGUUCGCCUUUUCGAAAUAGAUCCAGCUCAACUCCAGGUAGCUCAAGUAUCUCAAGUUCAACAAAGAAGAGUUCAAUUCACUGGCUGUGAAAGAAAUCUGGCCAAAUAGGCGAAAUGAGAAUUUGUAUUCUGGCGUGAUCUUAAGCAUGACGACAUGUCCAGUUGCUCGGUCGCACUUUACUCCAGUCCAUUGGCAACAAUCUUUGUUGUUCCACGAAGAAAGGAUAUGAGAUGUGCUUGAGAGACUUUGUUUGAGCUGGAGUAGAGCAUCCCUUUCGUCUUCAAAGCAAAUCGAGGAUGAGCUUCUAUUUCUGCACAAGCAUACACACGCAUGGUCUAAAAUCAACAACAGACUUACUAGUACAAGCACUCUUACACUAUCAUGUUCCCCCAUGAAUGAUGACGAUAUUGAAAACAAAAGGUAUAUGGCACAUGAACGCCACUGGAUCAGGCUACAAGUUUUUGGCUUGGGUGUAUUUUUGUUCAAAUUAUGAGAAGUUAAGCUCAAGUGGAUUCUUAAGAGAAGACAAAAGGAAUUUAUAGAGAGAAAGGGAAGGAAUUACAGUGAAUGCCUUUGCUCUAUAUGGUCGUUAACCAUGUAUAUCAUGUGUUUGUAGUUUCAUUUACCAUCACGGUAAAUGUAACCAUCAAUUAUCAAUUUUAGUAGUACUUGAAAAGGAAGUGGGAAAGCACAAAUUCUACUACUCGGAGCUUGUCAUUUUAAGGAACAUAUAUAUAAUAUACUGUAUGAGCUUGUCUUCUCACACAUAUUAAAGCGUUCUCCAUUAAAAAAUUGUCCAUCAGCUCUCUAAAAAUUUGUGCAUGGACAGACGGGAGUACUUCAAAGAUGGUCUUGCACGGUUGCUUUUCAUCACCAUUUCAGUGAACCGACGGAGUCAAGGCCUACAUGGGCUACAUGCAUAUGUCCCAAAAUAAUUGAUGAGGCAGUAAGAUGAUUUCAAAAUCGCAUUUUCGAAUGUAUUAGCCAGAUGGAAAGCCCACCAUCGCCAAUAUCGAAUAUGGUUAGAAUGUGUGCAAAUUGGUAUGGGUAAACAUCACGCAUAACCUUGAAAAAUAAGAAAUAAAAUUAGCAAGAACCUCACCAAUAAAUUAAAGUCAAGCUUAAAACGAGUGAUAUGAAGAAAUUGAGGAAUUUGACUGUAAUUUAAGUAGGAUAUCACCAGAAAAAUGGAAGUUGCCAUGUGAAGAAGCUUCCCUAGUUGGAAGAAAAACGUCAGAUUCAUUGUCUAAUGUUGAUAUGAACAACAUGUGUGCCCAUGGUGGUCCUCUAGUGACACCUCUAGUGACAACUACAGAAAACUUUGCAAUCGGGACACGCAAAAGUCUGGUCUUUCAAGUCUCUAGUUCCAAUUGGGCACUCUUACUAUGCUAUGGGGAUUGACUAUAUAAAAUUGGCUUUUCUCGCUCAUUUAAUAAGGUGACGAAUGCGUCGAGAAUGAAGAGUUCUUCUUUUUCAUAUUCGUUGAAAUCCUUUUUUCAUCCUUGCGAAUACAGUGGCUCUCUAUUAUUGUAUUGCCGGUCUUGCUUACGAUUAUAUCAAAUAGUUAAUGUGAUCCUUUAGCCUAAUACAACAAGAAUCAAACCCUCAAAAGAAGUACUCAUUUGGUGACAAUUUAAGAUGUAUAAAUGACAUUACCGACUUUCUCUGGAUCUUAGAAUCAGGUCUAUAUUUAGGAAACAGAGCAAGUGCUUGGCUUUGAUCCUUGCUAUAAGCCAAGCAAUAGACAACGUGUUAACAAAGUCGUAGCACGAAGAUUCUCGGACUAUGGUGGGGCUGGAAUCAACUGCAUUAUUGUGGAAAAACAUAGGUAUGGCGAAGUUUUGCAGUGAAAGACCCGCAAGCACCCAGUCAAAAAGUCUCGAGGUCCAUGUCGUGACGACUCGGGUCUAUCCAUAUUCAUCUGGUUGCAUUUUCCUUUGUAUAAAUGCAAAUUCUAACGGGUUUUAAGUACGCCUAAUUCAGCCACUACUUAAAUGCUCAUCAUGGACUUGGAUUCACAUUUCUUUUAGAAGUGUGUCUAUGGGAUGCUUAUUAUGAAGGAACGAUGAAAAUUAGUAAGAGUACAAACUAAAACGCAGUACAAUAUUAAUCAAUCCUCGUGGUCUCUUUUGGGUCGAAUGUUCGAUCUCUUAAAUUUUCCUAUUGAUAUCAAUUAUUCAUUGGAGGAUGACAAUACAGUAGGAAAAUUUUAAGGGCCAGACAAAUUGUGAUAUUUUGCAAGAUCCUUAUCAACUGUUUUGAAAAUUUAAACUCUUAUAUGAAAGAGUGGUUUGAUAAUUAAAUAUUCUAUUACUCCCCGUCGCAAUCAUUUAAAGACAAAUGACAUCCUCGAGGCGUUUGGAUGGACUAUCAAGCAAGCCUCUCUUGCGAGAUGUGCGCUUGCGCUUAACACAACCUGUCCCAUGUCCUAUCGGUCCCAACAUUAUUUACACUUGAUUGAUUAUGACAUUUAUCCUUGCUUUAAAAUUAGCAAGAACCUCACAAAUAAAUUGAAGUUAAUCUUUAUACGACAAAAUUGAGGAAUUUGGCCAUGACUAAAGUAGGAUUUCACCAAAAAAAUGUAAGUUACUAUGUGAUGGAGCUUCCAUAUUCAGUCUUUCGUCGCACUCGUCAUCUAAUGUUGAUUUGAGGAACAUGUGUGCCCAUGGCAACACUCUAGUGACAGCACUAGUGACUACUACAGAAAACUUUGCAAUCAAGAAAAGCAAAAGUCUGAUCUUUCAAGUCUCUUCUUACAAUUGUGCUCUAUCAUUAUAUUGUGGGCCUUGACUAGAUAGAAAUGACUUUUCACGCUUAUUAAAUGAGGUGACGAUGAUGUUGAGAAUGACGAGUUUUUGCUGUACAUAUUGGUUGAAAUUCAUUUUUGAACCCUCGUGAAGACGACAACUCUCUAUUAUUGUAUUGCAGUUCUGUUCCAAUGAUUCUUAGAAACUCGCUCCAAUGACAAGGGCAUUAAAUAGUUAAUGUAAUCCUUUAGCAAAGAUAACAAGAAUCAAACCCUGAAAAUGAGACGUAUUUGGUGACAAUUUACAAUGUAUAAGUGCCAUUACCGACUUUCUCUCCUCUUAUGUAGGACUCGGGAUCUUAGAAGUGAUCAGUCUCAUGAGACGUAAUUCGCAUGAGAGAUAGAUUAUUUCUUCGAUUAAAUGUCGACUAGUUUUAGUAAUGAUGAUUUAGCGAAGUGAGAAGAGCAAGUGACCGAGUGGAGUUGUGCAUUAGCCCUUGUUUAGAAUUGUUUCUACACAUUUCACGAGUCCCUUGUGAUCUAGCCUAUUUUAUAACUUAGGGAAUAUGUUACCAUCACUCUGCAUUUCAAUUGGAAGUAAAGGGAAGUCACAUGUUUCUUUCAAUCAAAGUUUCUUAAAUCGAAAGUCCACAAAUAGCUCCAAGUCAACUCAACAUUAUUGCUCGUCACUAUCAUUAUUUCAAUUGAAGUUGAAACAUGUACAAAGCAAAUAGGAGUCACGAGCACCAACACGCACGCACUUUGGUGGGGCUGAACCAACAGCAUUAUUGUGGAAAAAUUCAGGUAUGGCCAAGUUUUGCAGUGUAAGACCCGCGAGCACCAAGUCAAAAGUCUUGAGGUCCUUUCAAAAAAUGCAAAUUCUAAAGUACGUCUUAUCAGCCACUCGCUCAUUUACUUGUCAUGGAGACUUGGUUACGUAAAUUUUACCUAUAGCCCAAUAUCGGUACCUUUCGUCAUUUGAUAAAACGGUGUUUCAUGAAAUCUUUUUUGAUUUUCAUCCCAAGACAUGCAAAUCUACAUAGCCACAGACAAGGGUGCAGGCAAUAAAAUGAAAUCAAUCAAUAAUAAAAACAAAAACAAAAAAUGGCGGAAAUGAUAAGACACCGAGCCAAUUGGACAAUAAUAUCUUGUUGAUACCUAAAUUUUGAUUAAACAUUUAGAGAUAACUUGCAUAAAAAAUUAGAGGCCAAUUUGACCCUACCCAAAAAAUUUACAUUGAAUAGCACGUCACAUUGGCAUUAAGAUCUUUUGCAUUAACCAAGUUUUUUCAUUUUUUUUAAUUAAAAAAAAAACGAAAUGGCUUGGGGCUGGGCCUGACCCCAGCCCCUUUUUUUUCCCCUUCGUCUGGGUCGGGCCCAUUUCCUUUUAAUUUCUCCCCAGCCGGGCCCCUUCUCCGUUCCCCACCUUCCUUCCUCCUUCCUCUCCUGCGCCUCUGCGCACGGACACCCUCCGCAGAGCAGCCAAGGAGAGCCUGGUCGGCGUGCCCAGAACCGGUGGCCGAAACACCUCCGUCGAUCGGGCUCCUCGCCUGUAACUACCAGGGACACAAAAAGAGAGAAAAAUUCGUGAGCAAGAGGUUUCUCGUAUAGAAGAGAGAGAGAUUCGAGAGAGAGAAGCCGCAUAUGAGAGUUUGAGCGAGGGAGGGGAGUUAGAGGGAGAGACUGCCGGCCACCGCGCCAGCAUCGCGGCCGACGACCCGCUGCCGGGCCUCCUUUCCAGCGCCGAGGCUCCGGUAAGCUUCGACCCUGUUCUUGGGCACGCCGGGCUGGAGCUCGUGGCCGUCCGGCUUACACGAACUCCGGCCUCGACCGUCCUUCGUUUGGCUGUCGCGUGGGUCGUUUUUUCAUUUGGCGAGAGUCUCGGCUCGGGUUUGGGUCUUGGUCGAGCCAAAAACUAUUCAUUUCAGUAGCGUACCCCGAAUGGGAUCUGUUCGAUAAAAUGCCCGAAUGAGAUCUAGUUUUGUCUCAUUGUUUUGGGCAGAUGUCGAGUCGUCCGGGCAUCGACCCGUUGAGUCGAGGCUUGCCUGUGAUUCCUCGAAGAGUCCUUGUUUCGGCUUCUUUUCCUUUCCCACGAGCUGCUACUGUAGGCUUGUAUUUGUGUGUGGGCGCACGCGCGCGCUGCUAGUUUCGGGAGGAUGCCCAUCUUCCCUUCAACGUGCAGUUCCUUAUAAAACACGAAGGUAACCAUGGCGGCUGCACUCUAGCGAAAUGAACGACUUUGGGCAUAGUAAAAGAAAAGGACUAUCUCCGUUCGUUUUCAUAGAAAAAAAAAAAUUUUGGAUGUUUUCCAGAAUUUAUUUGAUGGAAAAUGAGUUAGUCAAGAAAAAUGUUAACGUUAUUAGAAAAAAAUACAUUCAAAAGUGAGGAAAAUAUUUUCUACUUCGAGCUUUUUGAUCCGCGUUUUGAUCCGUCACCGAGCAACUAGCCAUCGCUAGGGCACGUAGUAACGUAGACAAAGGAGGAGAAAGAAGGAAGGAGGAGGAAGGCAACAAGAAAAAUAAAUCAGAUAAUGAAUAGUGAAAUAUUUUUCACGCCAUUCUCAAUCGAAUAUCGGAAAAUAUCGUUAUUUUCUUGAAAAUAUAUAUUCCAAAAGCUAUUCCAGAAACGUAAUAUUUCCUUUUGUUUUCUUUUUGCACCUCCCUUUCGUCUUUUUAGUGGCUGGGAACUUCUUCUUUUUCUUUAUGCAAUAAAUCAUUUUGAGACCAAUCUCGUAAACAGUUCAAAUUCAAGACAUAAAUUUAACAAUGGUUCUAGCUACAUGCAUAUAUCUUUCUUUUGAUGUCUCAAAAUUCAAAGGGGAAAUAUAGCCUAGGAAAGGAAUACAUUGAACAUUGGUGGGCACUAUGCCAUUAACAAUUUCAUUUACUAAUGUCAUAUCACCCUCAACAUGCACUUAGCAGGAAAAGCUUAAACAAUAUAAAAUGGAAUUGCUAACAUAGUUUUACGACAUUGACAAGCAAAAUAAUAUCAUGAUUAUGAUAACACGAGGUACUGCUAAAGAGCUGAGCAACACUAAAUUACAAAAUACAUGAUUUGCACUUACCAUGUCGUUUUAUGGACGGCUUGCUUGGACAAGCUUGAAACUGAAGAAAACAAUAUAUAUAUUAUUUUUUUUUGGUAAAGGUAAUGAUGUAUAUAGCUUUGAACCAACAUUUACAUAAUUGGCUACUAGUAACUACUCAAAAGGAGAAACAAGCCAACUACAAGAUGAUUCUGCUUAAACAAGAAAGCAAGAACUUCGUGAGAUCAACAAAGGAUUGGACUGACUGAUGUGGAGAACAGGCUUGUUAUGCUCUUCUCAAUCUCCUCCUCAACUCAACUGCCUUCACUACAAUAAUCACGUAGACCAUGUCUGUUUUACGAUCCACAUAGUUGAAGUAGACGCGUCUCCAAUUCUUCUUAUACACCAAAACUCCAAUAACUCCCCAAAACCCAGUUGCAAACCCAAGCAUUAUGACUAUGUAGAACAUCACCUUUUCAAGCUUACCUUCUUCAUCGGGAUCUUCUUCUGACACUCGAGGGGCCUCAACACUGGGGCAUUUCUUUUGUAGAUGAUCGCCACAAAGUAGAGGGUUGUCUGCAUAAAUGGAAGGAUCAUCAAGGGUUUGGAUUUGAUUUCCUUUGGGAAUUGGCCCCGUAAAGUUGUUGUGAGACAAGUUCAAUUUGCUCAAUGAUUUAAACGCAGAAAAGCUUUGUGGGAUUGUUCCUGAAAGGUGAUUAUUUGAAAGAUCAAGUGACUCGAGCCAUUUCAUGUGUCCAAUCAUAGUUGGGAUGCCUUCAGAAAGAAAGUUGCGAGAUAAGUUCAAGCCUCGUAAUUUGGAGAGCAAGGUAAGCUCUUCAGGGAUUCGCCCAAUCAAUUCGUUGCUUGAGAGAUCCAAAUUGACCAUAAGUCGUAGAGCGAGUGUUGUGUAGUCAAGGUCUAUCCCCUUCACGACCUGCUCCACAUGCAAUAUAUACCAAAUUGAUGGAUCGAGGGCAGCAGGCAUCGAGUCAUUCACGGAAGGUUCAGCCUCAUAAGUAGGGGAAAGCGCAUUGCCUUCAUCUACGUUUUUGGGUAGUUUCAUACCUGUCAUAUGGCCAAGACAAUUUGGAAUCCUUCCCGUUAGAUUAUUCACUGCUAGGUCCAACAUUCGCAAUGCGGGGAGUGAGCAUAGUUGUGAAGGAAUACUGCCAUUGAACAUGUUUUCUCGUAGUCUUAGAAUAUUUAGAAACUGAAAGCUUGUUCCAAACCAAUGUGGAACACUUCCAGAGAUUUUGUUCUCACCAAGAUCCAAAACUAGCAAGUUCCUGCAAUAGUUCAUAGUCACGGGAAUUUCUCCCUGGAGACUGUUGUUGCUCAAGUAUAUUGAUAGAAGCUGAGUUUGAUUUACCAAAGAACUCGGUAUGACUCCAGACAACUUGUUGGACGAUAGAUCAACGAGACUCAAAAUGUUCGCCUUCCAACAAUCAGGUAUUUUGCCAACUAAUUCAUUCCUUUCAAGAUGCAACUCAUCCAAAAAUUCCAUCUCGCAUAAUGAGGUUGGUAUUGGACCACUUAAGAGGUUAUCAUUCAGUUUCAAGGAACUUAUAUGAGGCAUCGCUCGGGCAAUAUCUUGCGGAAUAGGUUCUGAGAUUAAGUUGUGAGAGAGAUCUAAGUAGAACAAUUUAGGAUGAAAUUUCGGCAGAGAUCCAUUUAUUUGGUUGUAAGAGAGAUCCAGGGAGUAGAAUGACAUGAGACCUAGCCAAUCAGGGAGAGCUCCUAUGAUGGAUGAGUUGGACAACACUAUAUUUUUUGCAUUGACUUGCGUUUUUAUCCAUUGCGGAAAUUCAUUUCUGAAAUCGCAAGACAUCAUCACUAUGUAAGACAGAUCGAAGGGCGGUAUCCAAUCGGAAUCCACCUUGAAAGUUAAAGAGUUGUUGCCGAUAUCUAAGUACUCUAGCUUCGAGAGGUUGGCGAAGUGGAUUUCAGAAAUUGUUCCUCUCAAGGAAUUUCCUGAAAGAUCUAACCAGUCAAGAUCUUGAAGUUGCCCGAGACUUUGUGGAAUGGUGCCAUUUAGAAGAUUGUUACUGAGAUCUAAAGACCGUAAGACUUGCAAUCUUCCUAAUGCCUUUGGAAUAUUCCCUGUCAAUUGAUUAUAAGAAAGAGAAAGUUGUUCCAAGCAUAACCAACCGUAUGAUGACGGGAUGGUUCCAUGUAAUUGAUUAGAUGAUAGGUCAAGCCAUGUCAAGUUUUUCAAGUGCACUAGCCAAUCUGGCAAAGCUCCUCGGAGAAAAUUAUCACUUACAUCCAAUCGCUCCAAGUUUUUCCCGAUAAGCCCCGAAGAAUUUCCCUCAACUAAAAAUAACUCAUCAUGAAGUUCGUUAUCAUGCAAUGAUAGUGACUCGAGGGAUGGUUUGUUCCUUAAGAAAGAGAACAACCCUCCUUCAAUGCUUUGCAAAAGAUUCCAUCCAAGAUCGAGAUCGACAAGACUUCUCAAGUUAUCGAACCACCUUGGUACUGAAGAGUUGAAAUGAUUCCAUGAAAGAUCGAGAUGCCGAAGAGAAGUUAUGUUUUGAAAUAUAGCGCUCGGGAUAGGACCUUCGAAAAAGUUCAUUGAAAGAUCAAGAUGCCAAAGAGAAGUCAUGUUUUGAAAUAUAGCGCGCGGGAUGGGACCUUUGAUAAAACACCUUGAAAGAGCUAGGUGCCGCAGAGAAGUCAUGUUUUGACACAUAGUGCUGGGAAUGGAACCUCUAAACAUAUUCCAUGAAAGAUCAAGGUGUUGGAGAGAAGCCGUGUUUUGGAAUAUAGUGCUUGAGAUGGGACCUUGGAAAAUUCGAUGAAAGAUCAAGGUGCCGAAGAGAAGUCAUGUUUUGGAAUAUGGUGCUUGGGAUGGGACCUUGGAAAAAAUUCUCUGAAAGAUCGAGGUACUGAAGAUCAAGAUGAGUAGGCAAGUGAAAGUCAUAAAGCCCGCAAUUUGAUAGGCUUAAAUGAGAUAAGGAUGGGAGUAUAUUGAUCACCCGCAUGGGGUUUCCAUAUUUAGUAAAAUUCAGGCCGCUCAUGUCAAGGUACUUUAAUGCUUGAAGAUGGGAAACCCAUUGAAGGUCAUCAACAACACCCACGUGAAAAUAACUAUGGAGAUCGAGGACUUCCAACUGAGUGAGAUUUCCCCAUUCACUAGGAAAAGUUGCAAAACCAAAAGAGUCGGAUAAAUUAAGGUACCUCAAUUGCUUCAUCGAGCCGAUAUCAUUGAGUAUGUUCGCCUUUUUGAAAUGGAUCUUGCUCAACUCCAGGUAGCUCAAGUAUCUCAAAUUCAGCAAAGAAGAGUUCAAUUCAUUGGCUGUGAAAGAAAUAUGGCGAAAUGGGAAUUUGUAUUCUGGCGUGAUCUUGAGCAUGACGACAUGUCCAUUUGCUCGGUCGCACUUUACUCCAGUCCAUUGGCAACAAUCUUCGUUGUUCCAUGAAGAAAGGACGUGAGAUGUGUUUGAGAGACUUUGUUUCAGCUGGAGUAAAGCAUGCCUUUCGUCUUCAAAGCAAAUUGAGGAUGAGCUUCUAUUUCUGCACAAGCAUACACACGCAUGGUCUAAAAUCAACAACAGACUUACUAGUACAAGCACUCUUACACUAUCAUGUUCCGCCAUGAAUGAUGACGAUAUUGAAAACAAAAGGUAUAUGGCACAUGAACGCCACUCGAUUAGGCUUCAACUUUUUGGCUUGGGUGUAUUGUUCAAAUUCUGACGAUAUUUAACUUAUUGUCUAUUGCUAUAAGCCAAGCAAUAGACAACAGGUUAACGAAGUCGUAGCUCGAAGAUGUACGCACUUUGGCGGGGCUGGACUCAACAGCAUUAUUGUGGAGAAACUUCAGGUAUGAACGAGUUUUGCAGUGCAAGACCCGCAAACACCAAGUAAAAGUCUUCAGGUCCUUGUCGUCAUGCUAUGCAACGACUUGGGUGUCUACAUUCAUCUGGUCGCAUUUUCCUUUGCAUGAGUGCAAAUUCUAACACGGUUUUAAGUGCACCUAAUUCAAACACUAGUCAAAUGCUCAUCAUGGAUUUUGAGUAUGUAUUCACAUUUCUUUUAAAAAGUACAUCUAUGGGAUGUUUAUUAUGAAGGAACGAUGGACAAUUACCAAGAGCAUAAACUAAAAUGCAAUAUAAUAUUAAUCAAUUCUUAUAAAUCUCUUUUGGAUCGAAAGAUUGCUCUCUUAAAUUUUCCUAUCGAUAUCAAUUGUUCAAUGGACGAAGACAAGACAGUAGGAGAAUUUUAAGGGCCAGACAAAUAGUGAUAUUUUACGAAAUUAUUGUCAACUAUUUUAAAAAUUUUAACUAUUAUAUGAAAGCGUGGUUUGAUAAUAAAUUUUUUUAUUACUCCCUGUCGCAAUCUUUUGAGAUGAAUGGCAUCCCCGAGGUGUUUGGAUGGAUUAUCUAGUGAACUUCUCUUGUGAGAUGGACACUUGCGCUUGACACAAAUUCUCUCAAGUCCUAUCGGUCGCAACAUUAUCUACACUUGACUGAUUAUGACAUUUAUUCGUGCUUCAAAAUUAGCAAGAACCUCACAAGUAAAUUGUUAACUUAAAAUGAGUGAUAUGAAGAACUUGAGGAAUUUGGCUUUGAUUAAGGUAGGAUUUCAAUAGAAAAUGUAAGUUACUAUGUGAUGAAGCUUCCUUAGUCGGAAGAAAGAGAAAAGUCUUUCAUCGGAUUCAUCAUCUAAUGUUGAUCUGAGCAACACGUGUGCCCAUGCUGAUCCUUUGGCGAGAGCGCUAGUGACUACUACAGAAAACUUUAAAAUCAACACGCGCAAAAGUCUGAUCUUUCAAGUCUCUUGUUUCAAUCGUGCUCUAUUAUUGUGCCGUGAAUCUUGACUUGAUAAAAACAGCUUUUCCCGCUUAUUUAAUAAGGUGAUGACGAUGUUAAGAAUGACAAGUUCUUCUUGUACACAUAGGUUGAAAUCCAUCUUUCAACCCUCAUGAAUAUGGCAAUUCUUUAUUAUUGCAUUACGGGUGCAUGGGUGACAUUACCAACUUUCUCUCAUCUUAUAUGGGAAUCUAAAUCUUAUCAAUAAUCCGUCUCAUUAGGCUUACUUUGCAUGGGAGAUAGAUUAUAUAUGGAUUAGUUUCAGCAAUGAUAAUUUAGCUAAAUGCAAAGAGCAAGUGACCAAACAGAGUUGUGUAUUAAUGUGAGUGUAGUUUUGUUUAUGCACUUUCCACGACCCUCCUGUGAUCUCAUCUAUCUUAUACUUCCUGGAAAAUGUAACCAUUAUCACUGUGGAUUUCGAUUGAAAUGGGAAGUUAUAUGUUUCUUUCGAUAGAAGUCUGGUAAAUUGAAAGUCUACAAAUAACUCACAGUCAACUCAACGAUUAUUGCUCCACAUUUCAAUUGGAAAAUUUAGAAUGGGAAGUCACAUGUUCUUUCAAUCAAAGUUUCCACAUAUAACUCCAAGUCAACUCGACUUGUCGCUCAUGGCAUGGUCUAUUGAUCUCAUCCUCAGAGCUGGUCCAGGAGUGCAAGUAGCCCACGCCUCACUAUCAUUGUUGUGAGUCAGGACCACCAACACUUUGGUUAGGCUGGACCCACGGCAUUAUCGUGGAAAAACUUAAGGUAUGGCCAAGUUUCGCAGUGCAAAACCCGCAAGCACCAAAUCAAAAAGUCUUGAGGUCCAUGUCGUCAUGCUAUGCAAAGACUGGGGUCUGUCUAAAUUCAUCUGGCUGUAUUUUCCUUUGUAUGAUGCAAAUUCUAGCAGGGUUUGAAGUACGCCUAAUUCUGCCACUACUCAAAUGCUCAUAAUGGAUUUUGAGUACGUAUUCACAUUUCUUUUCAAAAGUGCGCCUUUGGGAUGUUUAUCAUGAAGGAACGAUGAAAAUUUGUAGUACAAUAUUAACCGAUUCUUGUGAAUCUCUUUUGGGAAGAAAGACCACUCUCUUGAAUUUUCCUAUUGAUAUCAAUUGUUCACUAGAGGAUGACAAGACAGUAGAAGAAUUUUAAGAGCCGGACAAAUGGUGAUAUUUUACAAGAUCAUUGUCAAUUGUUAUACAAAUUUAAACUAUUAAAUCAAAGUGUGGUUUAAUAACUAAAUAUUCUAUUACUCUCUAUUGCGACCCUUUAGAGAUGAACGACAUCCCUGAGGCGUUUGGAUGGAUUAUCAAGUAAACCUCUCUUGUGAGAUAGGCACUCACACUUGACAUGAGCUCUCCCAAGCCCUAUUAGUCGCAACAUUAUUUACACUUGAUUGGUUAUGACAUUUAUUAUUGCUUUAAAAUUAGCAAGAACCUCACAAAUAAAUUGAAGUUAAACUUAAAAUGAGUGAUAUGAAGAAAUUGAGGAAUCUGGCUAUGAUUAAAGUAGGAUUUCACCGGAAAAAUAUAAGUUGCUAUAUGAUGAAGCUUCCCUAGUCGGAAGAAAGAGAUAAGUCUUUAAUUGGAUUCGUCAUCUAAUGUUGGUCCUUUGUUGACUCCACUGGUGACUACUACAAAAAAACCUUUGCAAUUAAGUCUUUCAAGUUUCUUGCUCCAACCGUGCUCUAUUAUUGUGUUGGGGCUCUUCAUUUGAUAAAAAUGGCUUUUCUCACUUAUUUAUUAAGAUGAUGACGAUGUAGAGAAUGAUGAGCUCUUGUUGUACAUUUUGGUUGAAAUCCAUUUUUCAAUCCUUGUGAAAACGGUAACUCUCUAUUGUUGUAUUACGGGUGUUGUUCCAUUGAUUCUUAGAAACUCACGCCAAUGAUGACGGCAUCGAAUAGCUAAUGUGAUCCUUUAGCCUAGAUAACAAGAGUCAAACCCUCAAAAUGCAUCUCAUUUGGUAACGAUUUAAUUUGUUAACGAUUUACUGAUGUGUAAGUGACAUUACCAACUUUUUAUCAUCUUAUAUGGGACUUUUGAUCUUAUAACUAAUCCAUCUCAUGAGAAGUACUUCACAUGGGAGAUGGAUUAUUUGUUAGAUUAGAUGUGGACUAAUUUCAGCGAUGAUGAUUCAGCAAAAGUCUGAAGAGCAAGUGAUCAAGCAGAGUUGUGUAAUCACACAAGUGUAGAUUUGUUUCUACACUUUCCACGGGUCCCUUGUUAUGUAGUCUAUCUUAUGAGUCAAGGAAAAUGUAUCCAUCAUCACCGUGGAUUCCAUUUAUAAAAAUAGAAUGGGAAGUUACAUGCUUCUUUCAAUUGAUGCUUGGUAAAUCGAAAGUCUACGAAUAACUCCCGGUCAAUCAACGAUCAUCACUCGUUGCAUGGUCUCUUAUAUCUCAUCGUCACUAUAGUACAACUUCAAGUUGAAACGUAGCAAGUGCUUGGCUAUUUCCCCCCGCUAUAAGCCAAGCAAUAGGUGACACGUUGACGAAGUCGUAGCACCAACGGCAUUAUUGUGGAGGCAAGUUUUUGCAGUGCUAGACCCGCAAGCACCAAGUCAAAGUCUUGAGGUCCUUUCAAUAAAUGCAAAUUCUGAAGUAUGUCUAAUCAGCCACCCACUCAAAUACUCAUCAUCGAGACUUGGUUACGUAAAUUUUAUCUAUAGUACGUUAUCGGCACCCUUCCUCCUUUGAUAAAACGGUGUUUCAUGUAAUAUUUUCUAACGUUCAUCCCUAAACAUGCAAAACUACAUGACCACACAUAAAGACGCAAGCAAUAAAAUGAAAUCAGUCAUAACAAAAAAAAUAAAUGGCUGAAAUGAUAAGACCCUAAGCCAAAUCUGGCAACAUUAUUCAACGUCAUAUUAUAAAAGCCCUGGGACACGACCUCGUCAACUAUACAUGAAAGGAGAGUGAAUAUGCAAAUGUGAUAUGCUAUGUAAAUAAUGUACUAAACAACGUAUAUUCUUAAAAUGAGCUAAUCGACAUGGAAAUAUUUAACAUUGUGCAAUAAAAAAUGCAAUGUAAUCAUAAAUCUAAAUUUCAUUAAAUGCACCCCUAGGCAUAUUUCUGUAAAUUGUUUAAUGAACAUCCAAUCAAAAAUUACUAGCAAGCAAUACAUAAUUUUUAUCUUUUCCAAUUUAUGACAUACGACCUAUCGAAAAUAAACAUGCAAAUAUAGCAAUUAAAUGAAACUUCAAUUCAUGGGAAGUCCCGAUUUUUCUAAGAUGGGAAUUGGGUGCAUAGGAAUGUCAUGUAAAGCAUAUGUAAUAAGAUAGCAUGAUGCAAAGUCUUACAUGGGCAUGACAUAAGCAACUACUUACGAAUGAAAAUGAAUUCUCCACACAUGCGGUGGGAUAACCUAAGCCGUAAUCAAUGAAGCUUGAAGAGAGUAUAUGAAGUUGGAAUAUGCAACUCUUGAUUAUUAACGAAAGGAGGUUCAUAUAAAUGGUGGUCAAGAUUUACGAAAGAGUAAUUUUUGCAGAAUUAUAAGAAUUUGCUUUUAACUAAGAGUGCAAGUGCAACAAAACAAAAGGCCUCUUGUGACAUGAGCAAGCUCGAAUUCAUCUGUACAUUCCUAUGCAUCUCUCUCUAUUCCCCCUAGUUUUCAACAAUAUACAGAACUCUCUAACACCGAUCCAUUUUAUGGGUCGGAAGAUAUCUGCAACACCAGUCAAAAAGAAAAUGGAAACAUUUCUGCUAAAAGAAGCUUCUCUCACAGGACGAUGGCAGACAAGAAACACCUUUGCCCGAUGCCUCUCACAGACGUUUCACGCCAACUUUGGCCCUCCUUGUAACAUUCAACCUGUGACAAUACCAAUGGAGGCAUAAGCUAAACGAUGCUCCAAAAGUAAAUCGGAUGAGCAGUUGGUUGACAAAUUUUGAGGACUCAGGGUCAAUCCAACGCCUGGCUGAAAAUUAUACAUGAAUCAUGACAUACAAAAUAGAGGGAGGCAGAAAACUCACUGUGUCUACGAUGCCUUCAUCGGCCUUUACACCUCCGAUCACAUAUAUCGACUCAUUAAGGACAGCGGCGGCAGAAUACCCUCUAGCACAAUUCAUUGGUUCCCCAGCCAUCCAGCAAUCCAGGCGUGGAUCAUACACUUCAACACUCGGAACCAUUGAAUUUCCAUCAAAACCACCCAAGGCAUAUCUAUUGUAGGAGUACAGAUAAGACACAACGCUCAAGAAAACUGAAACUCGAAGUUUAGCAGAGUACAGUAAAGCUAGCUUUAAUUAAUUUACAGUUGAAACAACGACCAGCUAAAUGAACAACUGGAAAAAAGAAAAAAACUAACUAACUAAUUUUGCAGUUCUGUCCUUUAGUUAUGUUAGCAGAACGGAAGAAGAAGGGAGACUACAAGGAAUCUGUUUAUUAGACUUACAUUGUGAGAAAAUACUUAAUACACAAGAAGCACAGACGAGAAACAGUAUCAUGUCCAGGUCAAAGGAGAAUACGACAUGCUUUUCCAGCAUCUAUAGGCAAAUAUCAUCAAAUAAAAUUGAACAGCUGGCAUCAAAAGGAACAUACGGGUAUACUUACAGCUUUUCAUUCAGCGAGACCAGUGAAUGGCAGCCCCUCUUUGUGGUCAAGCUUCCAAUUUUGGCCCAAGAAUGUUCUCUUGGGUCAAAUCUUUCAGCCGAACUGAAAUAAAUCAGCACAGGAAAAAUUACCAACUCUCUGCUGUAGCUAACUCUGAUGUAAAAGAUUUCAUAUGCCAUGCAAGAAAUAUAUAGAUUCUUCUCCUUUAUUGUGAGGAGUAUUAGGUCUACAAGGGUAUUUUUGAAGUUCCAGAUAUGUAAGAGAUAUGGACAUAAAAAUAACUUGCAUUUCACCAGUAAAGGUUUCUUAGGGUAAAAUUGCAAAAGCACUAGUGUUCAUAUGAGGAAUGACACUGCCAUUUUCCAAUCAGCAGCAGCAACAUAUGAAGGGUUAAUCACACGCCAGAUACUUUCACAGGUUGCACAGCAGUUGACAAGAAUGCCCCCCAGAAAAGUAAAUCAACUCAUGUACUCGGAUUUAUCAGGAAAAAGGAUAACAGUCAGUCAAGAGAGUCACAAGAACGAUCGACCACUUCAAAUCACAAAAUAAAAGGUUGAUGAAAAAUUCGUCUCUUA